UGGAUCCAGACUUUGAUUAUGGCUCAGGAUGAACGCUAGCUACAGGCUUAACACAUGCAAGUCGAGGGGCGGCGGGAUUGAAGCUUGCUUCAAUUGCCGGCGACCGGCGCACGGGUGAGUAACGCGUAUCCAACCUUCCGUACACUCAGGGAUAGCCUUUCGAAAGAAAGAUUAAUACCUGAUGGUAUGAUGAGAUUGCAUGAUAGCAUCAUUAAAGAUUUAUCGGUGUACGAUGGGGAUGCGUUCCAUUAGGUAGUAGGCGGGGUAACGGCCCACCUAGCCAACGAUGGAUAGGGGUUCUGAGAGGAAGGUCCCCCACAUUGGAACUGAGACACGGUCCAAACUCCUACGGGAGGCAGCAGUGAGGAAUAUUGGUCAAUGGACGAGAGUCUGAACCAGCCAAGUAGCGUGAAGGAUGAAGGUCCUACGGAUUGUAAACUUCUUUUAUAAGGGAAUAAACCCUCCCACGUGUGGGAGCUUGUAUGUACCUUAUGAAUAAGCAUCGGCUAACUCCGUGCCAGCAGCCGCGGUAAUACGGAGGAUGCGAGCGUUAUCCGGAUUUAUUGGGUUUAAAGGGAGCGCCGGCGGGUCGUUAAGUCAGCUGGGAAAGUUUGGGGCUCAACCUUAAAAUUGCAGUUGAUACUGGCGUCCUUGAGUGCGGGUGAGGUGUGCGGAAUUUGUGGUGUAGCGGUGAAAUGCUUAGAUAUCACGAAGAACUCCGAUUGCGAAGGCAGCACACUAAUCCGUAACUGACGUUCAUGCUCGAAAGUGUGGGUAUCAAACAGGAUUAGAUACCCUGGUAGUCCACACGGUAAACGAUGGAUACUCGCUGUUGGCGAUAUACUGUCAGCGGCUUAGCGAAAGCGUUAAGUAUCCCACCUGGGGAGUACGCCGGCAACGGUGCAACUCAAAGGAAUUGACGGA
rnacentral:rRNA from 1 species